UACAGAGGUCUCGAGCGUUAGGCGGAAUCACUGGGCUUAAAGCGUGUGUAGGUGGAUCGUUAAGUACCUUGUGAAAUCCCACGGCUUAACCGUGGAACUGCUUGGUAUACUGGCGGUCUUGAGCCAGCUAGGGGCUACCGGAACAAAUGGUGGAGCGGUGAAAUGCGCAGAUAUCAGGAGGAACACCGGUGGCGAAGGCGGUUCUCUGGGCAUUACCUGACGCUGAGGAGCGAAAGUGUGGGGAGCGAACAGG
rnacentral:rRNA from 1 species